AAACCAGAGAAGAAAACCACCCAACACUGCCUCAGAAAAAUAAAAACGACCCAACGCACGCCCCAUCCCUCGUCACACAAUCCCUAGCCUCCUCACCUCUCUUUGCCCGAUGGGGCUUCCGUGUGGCGGCGGCGUCCACCGCCGGCAGCGCCGCCUGGAUCUCCUCGCACCAGCACCUGCCCCAUCGCCCGCGACCUAUCCACUCCGACGCGCGGUAAGCGCGCCGCGGCCACCAGGCUCGGCACCGCCUUGUCGCCGAGGUUCUGAUCCAUUGUGCCAGAUGAGAGACAGAUAGAGUUAGGGAGCGGCCGAGCUCGCCACGGAGGAAGAGAGAUGACCGUUGUCCCUUGGUCUAGGCCUGCCCAGAAGCACACAUCACGGACGAUGGUUGUUGGUCCCACGAUCUCCAUUGAGGCCCAGCGCGUAUCCUAGAAUAUGUGUGCCUCGGGUAGGAAGUGCAAUUCGGUAUGAUCCUAGAUCCCUCCCUCUCCCUCCCUCUCCCACUCUCUCCCUCUCUCUCUCUCUCUCCUCGCACUUCAAAUGGCUUCCUGCUUAGUAGAUGAAAAGGGGGGUUUAGGUUGGGAGGAAGAAGCUGUAUAGAUCGAAGGGAAAGCAGAACAAAAGGGAGGGGGGACAAAAGACAUUUGUUUGAAUGUCUUCCUCUUUUUGACGGUUUUGGAGUCAUUGACACACCAAGAAUGGUGUUAAUAUCUCCGUUUUGAUGAUGUAAGGGAUUUAGAGCAUCCACAUGACCAUGGUCGACAAUGGCCUGAAGCCAAAUUUGUUUUUGUUCACAGACAGAUGGUUGUGCGUUGAACUGGUAAAUAAUACAUCCGGGCCGUCUUUUAUCUUUCAUGGUGUUUCUUUGCUAUCAUGAGUUUGAACUAAAAGUUUGCAUGGGUACUGUCUUUUUCCCCAGCCGUGAGUGUGAGGUGGCAAGAUAAUUUCAAAAUUCAGAAUCUUGGUUGGCUGCUCGCGGCGGAGCAUGUGGCCGGUGCUUGCGGUAGUGGCAGAGCAGCGUCGGCGAGAGUGGCGCAAGCAGUGGCCAGAGCUGCAUGGGCCGCUGUAAGCAUGCCAUCCAGCGCAACACUUCAAGUAUGACAAUGUCCACUCUACACCAAGAUAUUAGUCAGUUGGGAGAUGAGGUGGUUUGUCAGAUAAGAAACAGAAUAAGGACAAGAAGGACCGUUAAUUGGACCAUGUCAUUGUGAACUUGGAGCAUAGAAUUUUACAGGAGAUGGUCGUCGUAAAACUGGGUGCUUAAGAUCUAGGGAAGUAUAACAUUUUUUCCGAAAGCUUAGUAAAACAAAUUCACUUUGUGGGUCUAAUUUAAUUUUUCUAUGUUCAUAGUUUCUUGCGUCAAUAGAUAGACCAAGCCGAGCAGGACAUGAACUUCCUACUCAUGCUUUAGUUCAUUUUCUUUGAGUAUUUGUGUUCUUAAUUUGGUUUUCACUGGUUUGUGCGCCAUCCUUUCAAGUUAGAUUUGAAUUUGUUGUCAUAGAAACAAAUUUUUUAUCGCCUUUAAUAGUAUAUAGAGAUAAUCCAGUUAUGUAUGCAAAAUUAUGCGAGAUCCUUAGUAAGGAUAAUUUUUUUCUGAUUCCCUUAGCAGCCUCUGCAUCCUUCUGCCUUAGCCUGAUCAAUUUUUCCCACUAUGCCGUUUUUUCCAACAUAAUGGAACGAAUGUGUCAAGUAUGCAUCCAUUUAAAAUUUGGUGUCAAUCAGUUUUUGGAGGAUCGCAUCAAUGUUCCUCAUAUUUCUAAUAUUAGGAUAUUAAAAAUCACCUUUUCCCUACGAUGUUUAUCUUUUCGGUCUUUUAGCUAAUGACAAUGUUUCUUGAUGUGCCAGUGCCCAGUUGUGUAUAUUCUUGGACCUUUUACAUUCGAUAUUAACAAUCCAAAACUUAACACGUUUCUAGCCUUCUAGCGGAACUUCCAUUUAAUGUUAUCAAUUUUUUUGCAGCAAACUUCAAAGUUCUUGAUACUUUUGCUUGCACUUAUUUUCCACAGGCUCACAUAUAUUAGUGUUGUGCAGUUUAGAUCUCAAUAUGAUGCCGAUUUCUUUUACGGGUAAGGCAAGAGCUCCGCCUGCUGCUACGACGAUCGGCCACUGCCCUACGCUGGCCGAGGCUGCACAUCAUCGCCUACCCCACCAUGCUACACCUUGGGAUUGCUGGCUGCCGAAGUCGACGCCAUCAGUCGCCCCUCAACACUUUUUUUUCAAAUCAUGGAAAAUCUCUUGGUUUCUUUACAGUGUUGUAAUUUGUUUCUAUGCUUUAAGUUUUAUUGCGUCAUCCCUCCAAGACUUUGUUCUCUAACUACAGUUGCAUUAGCAUGAGGCUCUUCUGUAAUAUGCAACAUACAAAUUGUUCUAGAUGUCCCCACACUUCUAUUUCCAAUGCAUAGAACCCAAACAUAUGCUUUUCGC